AUGCUUCUCCUAAAGACUAAGCCAUGCAUGCCUCGAUUAGAAGAGCAUUUCUCUCUGAAUCUGCGAACGGCUCCGCAAACCAGUUGUAAACCAUAGCAAGCACGCCUUGGGCGGGGGGGUCGCAAGGCCUCCCCAUCACCCUUGGCUAUAAGGAUAUCCCUGGUAAUUCUGAGGCUAAUACUUGAAUGUAACCCCCUGCCGACGGGCAACUGGACGCAGGGGACCGUGCGAGUCGGACGCAUCACACCAUGGGAGUAGUCGCACAGUAAGACCUCCAUCCAAACGGUCCUUUUCCAAGCCGGCCUCCGGGUCGGUACGGUCUUGGUCCGGGAGGCUCUUGCAAGGUGCUUCUGACCUAUCAACUAGAUGGCAGUGUAAGGGACAUGCUAUGGUGACAACGGGUACAGAGGAUAAGGGUUCGAUCCUGGAGAGUGGGCCUGAGAGAUUGCUCAUACUUCUAAGGAAGGCAGCAGGCGCGCAACGUUCCCAGUGGGCAAUGCCCGAGGGCGUUAGGGGACAUAUGAAUGGCUGCCUUAUGGUGGCCAAUUCAAAUGGGACUGUUCUAAACAGCCUA
rnacentral:rRNA from 1 species